rnacentral:lncRNA from 1 species
UUUUCUUUCCAAACUUUUCAUCUCGCCCUCUAUGAAAUUAUUCUUCCUACAAACUAAAUUUUCUUGUUCAGUAUUACCUAUAAUACUACAAAGCCUUGCUUCGUUUUAAGUAUUGUAACUCCCGAUCACCGCUAUCCUUUCCGAUUGAUCUGAACCCCAUAACGCAUGUCAAGGCUCUGCCCGACUAAGUUCGUUUGGGUUCUGUCUCGGGACAUCGGGACAAGGUUGAUUUAGGGGUACUAUACUUACCACGAGUAGAUUAUAUAUUUUUAUAUAUAUAUAGCCCAAAAGUUAUACCCAAAAUUUAUACCAGGAGUCUUUCUAGUUGAACCCUAAAGUUACACAGUGGGUCCAUUCUCUUUAUUUUAUUCUCUUUUUAUGAUCUACCCAAAACUAUUAUUUAUUAUUCUAUUUUGUAAACAACUCUCAUCAAAAGUCAUACCUAUUAUUUUAUUUACUCAAUAGGAAACCCUAGUUGAGACACCCAAGUAAUCCUACACAACUCCUAAAAUUUUCAUAACAAUCAAAAUCAAGAUCAGGGCCCCUAAAACUUAGGAGGGGGAUAUUCCCACUUGAUAAUUAUCUUUAUAUCUUGUUGUCAAAAUUCGAAUUUAAUAUUCCGUCGACUCAUCAAGCCUACACACAUACGUGGCAAGCCUAUAGUGAAAAGGUGUCCCUUACGGACCGUAAGGGAUAAGGCUUACGGUCCGUAAGCCUGUCAAAUUUCGUGUAUAAAUAGCAGGCAUCGGCACUUGCAGUCUGCUGUUCAUUCGACGAUUAAAUUCCGAUUAUACACCGAGUUAUCGUCUAAAUACUCUAAAAACACACACGCGAAUCACUAAUUAGUAUAGCAGGGUGCUGCUACGAUACAGGGUAUUAACUCGAUCGCUAUUACGAUUCAUUUUCCGACCGAUCAAUAUAUCCAAUGGAUGUUUAAGUGCCACCCACAUUAGGGUUAUACUUUGUCGUUCGUCGUUAAUUCGAUGGAUGUUUAAGUAUCGUACUUUGUCGUUCGUCGUUAAAUCGAUGAAUGUUUAAGUAUCGCACUUUGUCGUUCGUUGUGAGAAUUUGAUCUCGUGAGUUAUCGUAAUUGUUGUAUUAAGUUACCUACCUAGUUCGUGUGCACUAGGUUACAAGGCUAAAUCAAUAGGCUAAGCUCUCCUGUAUAAAUCUGCAAUAUAUCAAGGCUUGUCUGUAGACUAAACUUUGGCCGUAUGAAUCUGCAUGAUUAUAAUAAUUAUAAUUACAGUGAUUAA